AUGUUACUCCUCUUCUUGCUUUUCUUCACUAUUGCUGAUAUCGCAGAGGCUGCAGACAACAGCAUUAAACCAGAAAAACCCUCCAGAUCUGUAACUGAAGGCAGCAACAUCACACUGUCCUGCACAUAUACUGGAUCAGUUUACAGUCUCCACUGGUAUCAACAAAAACCUGGAUCAAGACCAGAGUUUCUGCUGCUGAUUCUUGAAGCUACAGAAACUGUCACUAAAGCUGAACACCUUGACCCAAGACUAUCCACCAGACUCCAUAAAAAGGAAAAGAAAGUAGAUCUGGAGAUCUUUCCUGCUGCAGUAUCAGACUCUGCACUGUACUACUGCGCCCUGCAGCCCACAGUGACACAAAACUCAAACACACUGUACAAAAAGUGA